UACGUAGGUGACAAGCGUUGUCCGGAUUUACUGGGCGUAAAGAGCGCGCAGGCGGUCGAUCAAGUCGAGUGUGAAAGCCCCCGGCUCAACUGGGGAGGUCAUUCGAUACUGAUCGACUCGAAGGCAGGAGAGGGUAGUGGAAUUCCCGGUGUAGUGGUGAAAUGCGUAGAUAUCGGGAGGAACACCAGUGGCGAAGGCGACUACCUGGCCUGUUCUUGACGCUGAGGCGCGAAAGCUAGGGAGCA
rnacentral:rRNA from 1 species